GGUUUGUAGCUCAGUUGGUAGAGGACUUGCCCAGCAUGCAGGAAGCCCCGAGUUUGAUCCCCAGCACUG
rnacentral:tRNA from 1 species